GAAAAGGAGCAAUCCGCUUUGAGAUGGCCUCGCGUCCGAUUAGCUAGUUGGUGAGGUAACGGCCCACCAAGGCGACGAUCCGUAGCCGGACUGAGAGGUUGAACGGCCACAUUGGGACUGAGACACGGCCCAGACUCCUACGGGAGGCAGCAGUGGGGAAUAUUGCACAAUGGGGGAAACCCUGAUGCAGCGACGCCGCGUGGAGGAAGAAGGUCUUCGGAUUGUAAACUCCUGUUGUUGAGGAAGAUAAUGACGGUACUCAACAAGGAAGUGACGGCUAACUACGUGCCAGCAGCCGCGGUAAAACGUAGGUCACAAGCGUUGUCCGGAAUUACUGGGUGUAAAGGGAGCGCAGGCGGGAGAACAAGUUGGAAGUGAAAUCCAUGGGCUCAACCCAUGAACUGCUUUCAAAACUGUUUUUCUUGAGUAGUGCAGAGGUAGGCGGAAUUCCCGGUGUAGCGGUGGAAUGCGUAGAUAUCGGGAGGAACACCAGUGGCGAAGGCGGCCUACUGGGCACCAACUGACGCUGAGGCUCGAAAGUGUGGGUAGCAAACAGGAUUAGAUACCCUGGUAGUCCACACCGUAAACGAUGAUUACUAGGUGUUGGAGGAUUGACCCCUUCAGUGCC
rnacentral:rRNA from 1 species